rnacentral:lncRNA from 1 species
UGAUUAAUUAAUCUAAAGCCUGGUGCACAUUUGAAUAUGCUAUAAAUGAAACGAAACUAGAAAUGGUAGAAUAUGCAUAUUACAUUAUCGGUUCCUUUCUAACUACCAUACAUGAGCUUGCAAACUUAAAUUAUUAGAUCGAUGCUUAUUGAUACAUUGCAGGUAGGCACAUGAUUCGAAUGAGCUAAUAACUAACAUAUACGCAUACAACUUAGAAUAUAGAUUACAACUAAAUGGCUUCAAGCCUUAAGGCUGCAUUUUUAUUCAUGCUUCAAGUGUUCCAGCUUACAUUGUAUACCAGGAUAGUAAUUGUGUACCUGGUGAUUGGGAAAUAAAAAGAGGAGGAAGGAUCAGUAGUGAAGCGCAGUAACAAACACAUCAACAGACUUGGUACAACAACACCAGUGAAACUAAACAGCAGAAACCUAGGAAAGAUUCAAAAUCAAACAGGGGCAAAUAGCAAUAGCAAUUCCGAAAAAUCCAAACAACAACAACCAAAAUGAAUACCACAAAACCAAUAGAGGUGAACCAGUGCUCAAACUCAAAAGAGAUGAUCGAGUAGCAGAUGGAUAAUCAGUAACACACUCAAGAAUAACCACUAGCAACUUCAAGGGGGCUAAAUAACAAUACCAAAUGAACUCUAGUAGUACUAGAUGCACUUAAAACCAAAAGAGGAGGACUAGUUACAAGAGAAGCAACGCUUCUGAUUUUGAACACUCAAGAAUUCAGCCUAUACUCUCUAUUUUUCAACUUAGCUCUUUAGGUGUUAAAAGCCAGCCUUACCUCUGGAAUUAACUCUCCAAAUUCCAGCUUCUCUUUUUUACUCUCCCAAAAAUUCUCCUCAAUCUUUUUUCUCUUCUUUGUUCUAAAAAUCUGAUCUUCUCCCAAAAAUUUCUUUUUCUCCUAAGUGUCAAAUGAUCCCUAUUUAUAUCUAAAACAAGACUCUCUUCCCCUCCCUUUUAAUUAUUACUACUACCCUCUUUUUAUUAUUACCCUUCCAAUUAGCCUCCCCUUUUUUUUAAUUUUCAGCCCCCCAAAUAUUCUCUUCUAUGUCUAUCUUUUAACCUUUUAUCAUUAUUUGCACUAUUCCUACUUCUAAUUAAGCAAACACUCUCAUUACUUAGUGGUCCCUUUCUACCAAUUAGUUCAAAUUAAAAUUGUUAGGGGCCUACAAGAUAAACCAAUUCAGUCAAACCAAUUCCCAUUUUUUAACUUCCCAAAUUACCCCCGAAACCCCUUAAUUAUUAUUGCAUUACCCUAAGCUUUACAAAUCUAAAGUUACAUAU